AGUGAACGCUGGCGGUAGGCCUAACACAUGCAAGUCGAACGGCAGCACAGUAAGAGCUUGCUCUUACGGGUGGCGAGUGGCGGACGGGUGAGGAAUACAUCUGAAUCUACUUUUUCGUGGGGGAUAACGUAGGGAAACUUACGCUAAUACCGCAUACGACCUACGGGUGAAAGCAGGGGAUCUUCGGACCUUGCGCGAUUGAAUGAGCCGAUGUCGGAUUAGCUAGUUGGCGGGGUAAAGGCCCACCAAGGCGACGAUCCGUAGCUGGUCUGAGAGGAUGAUCAGCCACACUGGAACUGAGACACGGUACAGACUCCUAAGGGAGGCAGCAGUGGGGAAUAUUGGACAAGGGGCGCAAGCCUGAUCCAGCCAUACCGCGUGGGUGAAGAAGGCCUUCGGGUUGUAAAGCCCUUUUGUUGGGAAAGAAAAGCAGCAGGUUAAUACCCCGCUGUUCUGACGGUACCCAAAGAAUAAGCACCGGCUAACUUCGUG
rnacentral:rRNA from 1 species